UACCAGAACAAUCGAUCAUGACCACAGAA
rnacentral:piRNA from 1 species